rnacentral:rRNA from 1 species
GAUGAACGCUGGCGGCGUGCCUAAUACAUGCAAGUCGAGCGAACAGACGAGGAGCUUGCUCCUCUGACGUUAGCGGCGGACGGGUGAGUAACACGUGGAUAACCUACCUAUAAGACUGGGAUAACUUCGGGAAACCGGAUCUAAUACCGGAUAAUAUAUUGCACCGCAUUGUUCAAUAGUGAAAUACGGUUUUGCUGUCACUUAUAGAUGGAUCCGCGCCGCAUUAGCUAGUUGGUAAGGUAACGGCUUACCAAGGCGACGAUGCGUAGCCGACCUGAGAGGGUGAUCGGCCACACUGGAACUGAGACACGGUCCAGACGCCUACGGGAGGCAGCAGUAGGGAAUCUUCCGCAAUGGGCGAAAGCCUGACGGAGCAACGCCGCGUGAGUGAUGAAGGUGUUCGGAUCGUAAAACUCUGUUAUUAGGGAAGAACAAAUGUGUAAGUAACUAUGCACGUCUUGACGGUACCGAAUCAGAAAGCCACGGCUAACUACGUG